rnacentral:rRNA from 1 species
UGGCUCAGGACGAACGCUGGCGGCGUGCCUAACACAUGCAAGUCGUACGGGCUUGGGGGGCAACUCUCAAGUCAGUGGCGAACGGGUGCGUAACACGUGAGCAACUUGCCCUAUGGUGGGGGAUAGCCGGCCCAACGGCCGGGUAAUACCGCAUAUGGCGCCGAGGUCGCAUGGCCUUGGUGGGAAAGCGGCCGUAAGGUCGCGCCAAAGGUGGGGCUCGCGGCGUAUCAGCUAGUUGGCGGGGUAAUGGCCCACCAAGGCUACGACGCGUAGCUGGUCUGAGAGGAUGGCCAGCCACAUUGGGACUGAGAUACGGCCCAGACUCCUACGGGAGGCAGCAGUGGGGAAUAUUGCGCAAUGGCCGAAAGGCUGACGCAGCGACGCCGCGUGUGGGAUGAAGGCCUUCGGGUUGUAAACCACUGUCGGGGGGGGCGAAUACCUGGCUUCGAAUAGGGGACCAGGGGUGACGGUACCUCC